rnacentral:rRNA from 1 species
CAAGUCGAACGAACAAAAGCAAGAGCUUGGCUCUUGCUGAGUUAGUGGCAAACGGGUGAGUAACGCGUGGGAAUCUACCCAUCAGUACGGAAUAACUUUUGGAAACAAAAGCUAAUACCGUAUAUUCUCUACGGAGGAAAGAUUUAUCGCUGAUGGAUGAGCCCGCGUUAGAUUAGGUAGUUGGUAGGGUAAUGGCCUACCAAGCCGAAGAUCUAUAGCUGGUCUGAGAGGAUGAUCAGCCACACUGGGACUUAGACACGGCCCAGACUCC